UAAAAUAAUUAAGCAUUGAAUUAAGACAUUAAAGGACUCCAGGAAUUCUUGAACAUAGACAUAGAAGUCAUUACAGAGUGAACUGGCUCCCUGAUGGAACUGGGUCAUAACUUGGGAUGUCAGUGCUCUGGUCAAACAGUGGUUGCCUGGCUUACUUGACCAGGAGCAGCAAUGAAGAAGAGAGAAGCCAGUGAGUCCUACCGUGACCAGGCAUUCAUGUGCACCGAGGACGAUGGGCAAAGCUCACAUAACAAGGUGCAGCAAGAAGCAGGCAUACACCACUACUCCUUCAUUGAACCACAAGAUAUAUCUUUUUGGAAAAGUAAUGGAGUCCAGCCUACCUAACUUCACUGAUCUCCAAGGACUACUGAAAGUUAUAAAACUUACUGUGGAGCUCUGAUUUGCCAGAAGUUAGUAGAAAAAGAACUGACCCCUUCAGAACGCCAUCAAGAAGAUCGAGCCCAAAAUGAUACUUUUAACAGUCAGCUGGUCCCUCUUCUCAGGUGUAAAUCACCUAUUAUAAUUUCCCCCAGUUUUGAUACUCUGAUGAGGAGCGUCCCAGGACUUCUCAGCUGGGGUAGGCCUCACAGGACAGCUGUGUUCAACUCUGGAAGAAAGCCUGACAGGUUUCUCCGGAAACGUGACCAUCCACGGAAUGAAUGAAAUGUUCUCUUUCUAUUCCAGUAAGUAAUUGAC